AUUGAACGCUGGCGGUAGGCCUAACACAUGCAAGUCGAACGCGAAAGUCCUUCGGGAUGAGUAGAGUGGCGGACGGGUGAGUAACGCGUAGGAAUCUAUCCUGUAGUGGGGGAUAACGUUUCGAAAGGAACGCUAAUACCGCAUACGCCCCAAGGGGGAAAGCGGGGGAUCUUCGGACCUCGUGCUAUAGGAGGAGCCUGCGUCGGAUUAGCUAGUUGGUGAGGUAAAGGCUCACCAAGGCGACGAUCCGUAGCUGGUCUGAGAGGAUGAUCAGCCACACCGGAACUGAGACACGGUCCGGCCUCCUACGGGAGGCAGCAGUGGGGAAUAUUGCGCAAUGGGCGAAAGCCUGACGCAGCCAUACCGCGUGUGUGAAGAAGGCCUUCGGGUUGUAAAGCACUUUCAGUGGGGAGGAAAAGCUGGUGGCUAAUAUCCAUCGGCCGUGACGCUACCCACAGAAGAAGCACCGGCUAAUUCCGUGCCAGCAGCCGCGGUAAUAC
rnacentral:rRNA from 1 species